UGGCUUGUGGUGGAACGGGCG
rnacentral:miRNA from 1 species